AUUGAACGCUGGCGGCAGGCUUAACACAUGCAAGUCGAACGCUUUUUCUUUCACCGGAGCUUGCUCCACCGAAAGAAAAAGAGUGGCGAACGGGUGAGUAACACGUGGGUAACCUGCCCAUCAGAAGGGGAUAACACUUGGAAACAGGUGCUAAUACCGUAUAACACUAUUUUCCGCAUGGAAGAAAGUUGAAAGGCGCUUUUGCGUCACUGAUGGAUGGACCCGCGGUGCAUUAGCUAGUUGGUGAGGUACCGGCUCACCAAGGCAACGAUGAAUAGCCGACCUGAGAGGGGGAUCGGCCACACUGGGACUGAGACACGGCCCAUACUCCUACGGGAGGCAGCAGUAGGGAAUCUUCGGCAAUGGACGAAAGUCUGACCGAGCAACGCCGCGUGAGUGAAGAAGGUUUUCGGAUCGUAAAACUCUGUUGUUAGAGAAGAACAAGGAUGAGAGUAAAAUGUUCAUCCCUUGACGGUAUCUAACCAGAAAGCCACGGCUAACUACGUGCCAGCAGCCGCAGUAAAAC
rnacentral:rRNA from 1 species